GGGUCACCUCCCACCCGUGUCUAUCGUACCUUGUUGCUUCGGCGGGCCCGCCGUUUCGACGGCCGCCGGGGAGGCCUUGCGCCCCCGGGCCCGCGCCCGCCGAAGACCCCAACAUGAACGCUGUUCUGAAAGUAUGCAGUCUGAGUUGAUUAUCGUAAUCAGUUAAAACUUUCAACAACGGAUCUCUUGGUUCCGGCAUCGAUGAAGAACGCAGCGAAAUGCGAUAAGUAAUGUGAAUUGCAGAAUUCAGUGAAUCAUCGAGUCUUUGAACGCACAUUGCGCCCCCUGGUAUUCCGGGGGGCAUGCCUGUCCGAGCGUCAUUGCUGCCCUCAAGCACGGCUUGUGUGUUGGGCCCCCGUCCCCCUCUCCCGGGGGACGGGCCCGAAAGGCAGCGGCGGCACCGCGUCCGGUCCUCGAGCGUAUGGGGCUUUGUCACCUGCUCUGUAGGCCCGGCCGGCGCCAGCCGACACCCAACUUUAUUUUUCUAAGGUUGACCUCGGAUCAGGUAGGGAUACCCGCUGAACUUAAGCAUAUCAAUAAG
rnacentral:rRNA from 1 species